UGAAGGCUAAAAACAUUGAACCAUGCACCCUUGUAAUGGACUUGGAAGGAACUGAUGGAAGAGAGAGGGGAGAGCAGGAUGAGAGCCUGGGGAUUGGGUUGAAUGCAAUUGUGAAAAACAUCAAAGGGGAACUUGACUAGCGUGCUACACCAGAGGUGGUUUACCUUCUUGAAAAAAGCCACAGCUGACAGCGAUCAUUGACUCCACGAGCAGCCAUAGCCUGGGGAAUUUUUACUGGUUUAUCUGGUGCCAUGUCUCGAAGUGCACUUACCAUUUUGUAGGUGUGAAUUGUUCAUUGUUGGUCCUCAACAUUGGUGUUAAUCUGAGCA